UACGUAGGGGGCGAGCGUUGUCCGGAUUUACUGGGCGUAAAGCGCGUGUAGGCGGCUGUUUAAGUUGGGUGUGAAAGCCCGGGGCUCAACCCCGGGACGCCGCCCAAGACUGGACGGCUUGAGGACGGAAGAGGGGCGUGGAAUUCCUGGUGUAGCGGUGAAAUGCGUAGAGAUCAGGAGGAACACCCGUGGCGAAGGCGGCGCCCUGGUCCGUUUCUGACGCUGAGACGCGAAAGCGCGGGGAGCGAACGGG
rnacentral:rRNA from 1 species